GAGGCCUACGACUCAACGAUUGUAUGAUUCUAUGGUGUUGGUGUUAGAAAAUAUGUUCUAAAGUGAAUCAUCUAUUUGUAAACGAUUAUGCUAUUUAUAAAUUAUAUAUAAAUUAUAAAUUAAUAAAAAUUAUUUGAUAUUUUUAUUAUAAACUGUGCAUCUUCUUUAUUGAACUCCUGUGUUAUGAUGAAGUCUUUAUAACUAUUUUUUAUCGAUAAAAGAGGACUUAUCAUGUAGUUCUU
rnacentral:lncRNA from 1 species